ensembl:lncRNA
GAUCCAUAAGUAUGCAUAGAUUAUGUUUAAGUUCUGAGCCUUUCACUGUUACCAAACUGAACAAGUAGCAGACAGUGGGCUUUGUCUAAACAAUGCUGUGAUGAGUGCAUGAUUUAACUUGACUUGACUUGACUUGACUUCAACUUUAUUAAUCCCGGAAGGGAAAUUUAGACUAAUUUAGAUUUACUGAACACUCCUGUUUGGAUUACUACAAACUGAUUGUAGAAGGAAUUUUGCAAGGCAUUUUGCAGGGUUUAAUAGAGACCCGGAAGCUGCACGAAUGUUUACUUGUCACGUCAUCAUCAUGGGGUUUCUCUGGACCAAGCCCUGGUUUACUCAAAUCCAUCCAGUAUUUAAGGCACAGUACCACAGAUGCCAGAUUAAAUAGGCUACAGACUGUGACAUUACACUAACAGGACAAGAACAUCUGCUCAAGCUUUUGAUUUGCAGGAUGAAGACUUUACGUGCAAUGCUACUGAUGAUGUGUGUUGCAUCAGUUUUUUCUAAACCAUAUCCUUUGCGCAGAAGAUUUGAUUCAUCAGACUCUGAACAAUCUAGAAUUAGCUCAGAGGAAAGUGAUUCACGCAGAGACGAUUCACGGUCGUAUGAGAAGGAGUCUAAAUCAAGUGAAUCUGAAUCUUCAGAGGAAGAUGUGAGAGUUCUGAUGAGCACAUUCCCUCCAGCUAGCACAACAAAUCCACCGACCGCUGGCAGAACAACAACACCAUCAACUACGCCACAAGCCAUCACAGAAUGCGUUAUUGUGGAUGUGAUAAUUGGUGGAAGGGGUGAUAAUGAUAAUGUCAAUACAAUAACUUGCUGUGCUACUGGUUAAUCCUCUUUUCCUGCAAAAAAAAUAUAAAUAAAUAAAAAUUAAAUUGAUUUUUUUUUUUUUUG